rnacentral:rRNA from 1 species
GAUCCUGGCUCAGGAUGAACGCUAGCUACGGGCUUAACACAUGCAAGUCGAGGGGCAGCAUGGUCUUAGCUUGCUAAGGCCGAUGGCGACCGGCGCACGGGUGAGUAACACGUAUCCAACCUGCCGUCUACUCUUGGCCAGCCUUCUGAAAGGAAGAUUAAUCCAGGAUGGGAUCAUGAGUUCACAUGUCCGCAUGAUUAAAGGUAUUUUCCGGUAGACGAUGGGGAUGCG